rnacentral:piRNA from 1 species
GGGCAACAAAGGAACUGAGGAAACUGAA